UACGGAGGGUGCAAGCGUUAUCCGGAUUCACUGGGUUUAAAGGGUGCGUAGGUGGGUUGGUAAGUCAGUGGUGAAAUCCCCGAGCUUAACUUGGGAACUGCCAUUGAUACUAUCAGUCUUGAAUACUGUGGAGGUUAGCGGAAUAUGUCAUGUAGCGGUGAAAUGCUUAGAUAUGACAUAGAACACCAAUUGCGAAGGCAGCUGGCUACACAAUUAUUGACACUGAGGCUCGAAAGCGUGGGGAUCAAACAGG
rnacentral:rRNA from 1 species